AGUGAACGCUGGCGGUAGGCCUAACACAUGCAAGUCGAACGGCAGCACAGUAAGAGCUUGCUCUUACGGGUGGCGAGUGGCGGACGGGUGAGGAAUACAUCGGAAUCUACUUUUUCGUGGGGGAUAACGUAGGGAAACUUACGCUAAUACCGCAUACGACCUACGGGUGAAAGCAGGGGAUCUUCGGACCUUGCGCGAUUGAAUGAGCCGAUGUCGGAUUUGCUAGUUGGCGGGGUAAAGGCCCACCAAGGCGACGAUCCGUAGCUGGUCUGAGAGGAUGAUCAGCCACACUGGAACUGGGACACGGUCCAGACUCCUACGGGAGGCAGCAGUGGGGAAUAUUGGACAAUGGGCGCAAGCCUGAUCCAGCCAUACCGCGUGGGUGAAGAAGGCCUUCGGGUUGUAAAGCCCUUUUGUUGGGAAAGAAAAGCAGCAGGUUAAUACCCCGCUGUUCUGACGGUACCCAAAGAAUAAGCACCGGCUAACUUCGUGC
rnacentral:rRNA from 1 species